rnacentral:rRNA from 1 species
UAUGUGAUCGUCUCUCGCAUAUCAAUAAGCGGAGGAAAAGAAACUAACAAGGAUUCCCCUAGUAACGGCGAGUGAAGCGGGAAGAGCUCAAAUUUGAAAUCUUAAAGGGUUUCCCUUUACGAAUUGUAGUUUAAAGAAGUGUUUUCUGUUGAGGUUUUGGUAAAAGUUCUUUGGAAUAGGACACCAUAGAGGGUGAGAAUCCCGUAUUUGACCUUUACUUUCAACUUUGUGAUACACUUUCAAAGAGUCGGAUUGUUUGGGAAUGCAGUCCAAAAUGGGUGGUAAAUUUCAUCUAAAGCUAAAUAUUGGCGAGAGACCGAUAGCGAACAAGUACCGUGAGGGAAAGAUGAAAAGAACUUUGAAAAGAGAGUUAAACAGUACGUGAAAUUGUCAGAAGGGAAGCGUUUGACACCAGUGUUGUUUUUCUGAAAAUCAAUUAAAGAACUGUUUAUGCUAAGCUGUUUAGACUUUAUCAGCUAUCUGUUUAGUUUUGAGCUUUUCUUUAAUGCACUUUUCAGUUAACAAGUCAACAUCAAUUUCUUUUGCUGUAAAAAAGCUUGAGGAAGGUGGCUUGAGAUUCGUCUUAAGUGUUUAUAGCCUCUUGCCUAUGCAGUCGGAGAGAUUGAGGUCUGCAGCGUAGAUCCUUCGGGGCUAAAUGCAUUUGUGCUAAGUUAUAGCAUUUUAUAGACAACUUGUUGACUAUGAUUUGUCUUGUAGCUUACUCGCUUAUGUUAUUUUACCUACGCUUAGGAUGUUGAGCGCAUGUCUCUCUCU